rnacentral:rRNA from 1 species
AGUGGCGGACGGGUGAGUAACACGUAGGAACCUGCCUUGUACAGGGGGAUAACCACCGGAAGCGGUGGCUAAUACCGCAUAAGUACGCGAGUAUGAAAGGUGAGAACCGGUACAAGAGGGGCCUGCGUCGGAUUAGCUAGUUGGUAGGGUAAAGGCCUACCAAGGCGACGAUCCGUAGUUGGUCUGAGAGGAUGACCAGCCACAGUGGGACUGAGAUACGGCCCACACUCCUACGGGAGGCAGCAGUAGGGAAUUUUGCGCAAUGGGCGAGAGCCUGACGCAGCAACUCCGCGUGGAGGAUGAAGUUUUUAGGAACGUAAACUCCUGUCAGCAGGGACGAAAAGGUGACGGUACCUGCAGAGGAAGCACCGGCUAACUACGUGCCAGCAGCCGCGGUAAUACGUAGGGUGCAAGCGUUGUCCGGAAUAACUGGGCGUAAAGGGUCCGUAGGCGGUUAUGUGCGUCUGUUGUUAAAGGUCGGUGCUCAACACCGGUAUGGCAAUGGAAACGGCAUGACUAGAGUAUGGCAGAGGCAACGGGAAUUCCCGGCGUAGCGGUGAAAUGCGUAGAUAUCGGGAGGAACACCGGUGGCGAAAGCGCGUUGCUGGGCCAAGACUGACGCUGAGGGACGAAAGCCAGGGUAGCAAAAGGGAUUAGAUACCCCUGUAGUCCUGGCCGUAAACGAUGGAUACUAGGUGUU